UACCUUUAUUAAAUUUGUUUUUAAGAAUAUUUGUUUUUAUUUUUUAUAUCGAAUUAAUAGAAUGAAUCAGGUUGAAGAUGAAGGUUUGUAUUUAUUUAGAUGUGUAUUAUGUUACAGAUGUAUAAUGUUAUGUUGUUAGUUCUUAAAUAUAUGUUUAUUUGUGGUUGCUGAAUUACUAAGAAAUGAUGACAAUAUUGAAGCAAACAACUUUAUGGAUGAAAUGAGGGAGAUGGGUAAAACAAUUAUUUAGCAUCUUCUGUUUCGAAUGAAAAUGAUUCCUUAUCAUUCAAAGAGUACAAAAAUUACCGCCCCCAACACCCGGGACCUCUCUCAGAGAGGUCCUUCAAUAAAUGGAAACAUAAUGGCGGAAUGGAUAAGCCCUCCUUUAAAUGGAGGUCUCAUCCAUACCGGGGUGUCGAGAGACACCGAAAAAAAAAAAAAGCAACCAAAAGGUUGUAAAUGUCUCCUAUCAGUAGAAAUAUUUAUGACUUUUUAGUUGCUGCUUUUUCUUCGGUUUUUUUUUUUUUUUUUAAUUUUGUAAU